GGGGCAUUGGUUAAUCCAAAGGGCAUUACCAAGAAUUCAUAAUGCCCUUGAUGAGUCUUGAAAGCUGUUUUCUCCACGUCACUCAUCUUCAUUCUGAUUUGGUGAUAUCCAGAUUUCAAAUCCAAUUUGGAGAAAACUGUGGCUCCCUUUAGCUCAUCUAGAAGCUCUUCUAUUACCGGAAUUGGGUAUCUGUCUGGUAUGGUUGCUUCAUUCAGCGCCCUGUAAUCUACGCAAAACGUCCAGCCCCCAUCCUUCUUCUUAACCAACAACACUGGACUUGAAAAAGGGCUGACACUAGGUCUGAUCACUUGACUUCUCAGCAUCUCAGUGACAAGCUUCUCAAUCUCAUCCUUUUGGUCAAAGGAAUACCUGUAUGGCCUGAGAUUAACCGGAGAGGUACCUUCCUUUAACGUGAUUGCGUGUUCCUUGUUACGUGUAGGAGGCAAGGCCUGUGGCAUCUGAAAUACAUGUUGAUAGUGGUCCAAGAUUUGUUGAAUCAUAGGAGUGAUGGAAGUCUGUUCCUCUUGCGCUUGGUUAUCAAACAGGGAAGCUAGCUCAAGAAGAUAAGCAACUCCUGUAUACUUCACCACUCGUUUCAUGGCUCUCAUCGAAACCUGAUGAGUACUCAAAUCCGGAUCUCCAUACAGCGAAACCCAUGUUCUGCCUAUCUGCCAGCUGAGCCUCAACUAUCCCCAAUUGGCUCUUGUUUCUCCCAACUUUGCUAACCAAGAGAACCCAAGUACUACAUCUAACUCCCCCAAAUCAAACAAGUAGAAAUCUUCUCUGAAUUCGAUGCCCUGGACCUCUAGUCUGACAUCCACACAUUUGCCACUACUUCUAAUUAUCCUGCCACCUCCCGCUCGCACACCAAAACUACGGGUAGGAGUGAUUAUCCAGUCUCUAGCUCUCACCAAAUCUUCGCUAAUGAAGUUACAAGUGGCGCGAGAAUCAAUAAGUAUCACUACUUUAGUUCUGCCUAUGUAGCCUCUCAUUCUCAUGGAGUGUUCUUUUUCUUUUUUCAGUCAGGCAACCUAAUGACAUUACCUGAAAACCUUCUUCAGGUUCACCUUUUUCUUCUGUUAAUGGCUCAUUGAGCUCUUCAAUGAGGGGACUUUCCUCUUGUUCCUCUUCUGUAACCUCUAGGCUCUUGAGUCUUUGCUGCUUGCAGCGAUGCCCUGUAAACCAUCGGUCACCACAAUGACGACAUGGGUUACUAUUGCCUCCAGAAGUACCGCUACCCGAAGCUUUGUUUGUGUCUUUAGUAGGCACAAAAGAUGGUCUAGAUUGUGCUCUUUCAAACGGCCUUGCCACUGCAGUGGUUGGGUUAGGAGGCAAGGUGACUCGCGGUUGAGUCCUCACCUGGUAGCUCGGGUUGUUACCCUCCUGUGCCUCAAUGAGUCUUGCGAUCUCCACAAUAUCGGUGAGGUUUACAGGUCUGCAACGGACAACUUGGUCCUUGAGGCUUCUCCUCAACCCAUUCAAGAAGGCAGAUUCCAAGAUAUCAGCUGUCACAUGAGGUAAGUCUACCACAAGCUCUUCAAAUCUUUCACGAUACUCAUCGACACUCCCUGUCUGCCUUAUGUUCAAUAGGUGAUCAAUAGCCGAACUGCCUCUACUUGGUCUGAAACGCACUCUGAAUUUCUCCUGAAAAUCUCUCCAAGUAUAGAUCUGUUCUCGCUCCUUUGAGCAUCUCCACCAAGUCACUGCUGCUCCUGUCAAACAAGAUAUGGCCUUUUCUAACUUGUCCUCCUCUAGGGUCUGAUUGGAAAGGAAACACUGCUCCAAACGAAAGAGCCAAUCUUCUGCGUUACCACCCUCAUAAGCAGGCAACUCCACCGUCCUUUGUGGUGUCUCUGUUCGAAGACGUGGUGAAGGACACUGCUGUUGUAACGGAGGUGUCUGGAAGGGAACAGGUUACUGGAACUGUAGUCCGGUCUGCAAGCCUGGUUGAUGUUGAAACGGGGGUGUUGAGAAGGCCGGUGGUUCCGAAGAAGACGCCUGAAAGCGGAGAGGCUCCGAAGGAGAAGCCUGAAAUCGCGGUUGGUCUAAGGGUGGAGGACGAAAACGAGUUUCGCGCAGCCGGAGGUGUGUCUCUGGGUUUUGACCCACACACAUAAAGUCGCGGUUUUGAAUGUCGUGACUUGGAGUUUGAGAAGCAGGAAACUGUACUCCCGGAACAGGGGAUGAAAAACCCAUCGGAGUGUUGUGGCCUUCACGAGGAACGCCGAAGAUCUGGUUUCGGAGGAUCUGGGUGACUGCGUCACGCAGAUAGAGCAUCUCUUUCUCAGCAGCUGUCAUUCGCGUCGCCAAGGAAGUCACCGAAGGAGGUUCUGGCAACGGCGGAGCUAUCGCGUCACUGAGUUCGGCCGACUCUGGUAGAGAAUCGUUUGCGGCGGCUUGGUUUACCGGAGGAGCCAUCGCACUCAUCAAAAUGAAAGCACCAAUGAUAGAUAUGGACUCAACGGAUACUAAGAACAAGAGUAAAAACAGAGUAAACUAAUUCUAUUGCGCCGUUUUUGACGGAGAACAAGAUGAGAAGAGAAUUAAUAACUUUAAUGUUAUAAGUUUUGAUGAUUGUUUUUGGUAAGGUUGCCCUAAAGAGGCAAAGACCUUUAAAUACAACUCGAAAUAGACAAAACGCUGAGUUUAAUAAAAGAUAGAGAGAUGGUGAAAGACUCUAGAUGAACAAGAGUCUUUCUAUGCCUUCUUCUUUCCUUCGUCUCUUAGCCACUUUUCUUCAAGACCUUUUUCAAAUACUUCUCCAUAGCUUUAGCUUUUCUUCCGCCAGUUCUCAUUCUCUUUCUCAUAGUAGCUAGUGGAACCCUUAGCCUAUCAUAAUCCCAAACCAGUAACAUAAUGAACCUAGCAGAAGCUUAAAGAUCCACCAACGAUUAGAUUACAAGUACCAAACAUAAGAAAUUGGUCAAUGAUGAUUACCUGACGAUUAACAGUGUCAAGAUAAGGACAAUCACGACGAACUUCAACAUGGCGUGAAUGCUUUCCUCUCCCCUUGGAAGCAUCAUCAUCAUCAUCUUCUUCGUCAUCGACCUCUUCUUGAGCUUCUCCGUUCACUUUGUUACCAUUUCCCUCUCCUUUCGCAACUCCAUUACGACGAGCUUGCGAUUUCUUCAGCUCGUUCCCCUCUUCCUCAUCAUCAUCAUCGUACGCAUUAGCCAACGGCAGAAGAUGAUUGUUGAAACCCAGUGGUGGAGGUGGCGAAUCAGACCGUUCAAUCACUCUCUUCCUAUGACACCGUUAAAUGAACCAAAAACCUCUGCAAAACCUCCGGCUUGUAAAGGAUGAGGGAUGUCGGAGACGUUCUCAGGCGAGUCUAGCUCCACCGUACGUAGAAAACGAGGUCCUCGGAGUAAGAUCAUGAGAUGUUCUCCCGUUUCGAGUCUGCGACGGAGAUGAGAUGAGACGAACUCGGGACUGUCGAUCAAAGAGAAGCAAGGCUUUGAGAGGACGCGACACUUUUUGAGCGUAGUUGCUCUAAGACGGAGAAACAUUUCGUUGAUGAGAUCCGUCGGACAUUCCGCCAUUUCUGUUUUCCGGAAGAAAAUUGACAGAGAGAGGAAUUAGGGUUUCAGAGGAUUUGAGAGAUGAAUUUUCGACUCCAGCUCUUGAGUGUUGAGACAUGAGAAGUCUUUAGCUGUAAAUUUUUAUUUAUAAAAUUAAUUGGGUUAACUUGUUGUAGAUUUAAUAUUUUUUGUUGGAUUAUAUUAGAAUAUAUAUUUGAUGGGGGUCAAUAAAAUUUUGGGAAAGGGGUCAAUUUGUAAAAAUUAACAAAACCUAAACUAAUUUUCUAAAAUCCAUGGGGUCAAUUGACCCCAUGAUUAUACACUCCCUCCACCCAGUGGCGGACCUAUUAAGAAGAGAGGUGGUUCAGUUGACUCAGGUUAAAUAUACAAAUAACUUUUAAUGCAUAUGAGGUGUUUGAAGAGAUACUAGUUCAGUUGGUCAAAUUCUUGAUAACUUGGUUUCGAGCCUACUCAGUGACACUUUUUUUAGUAAUUUUAGUAAUUUUAUAUGUUUUAAAAAAUCAUUGACCAGGUAAAAAACAAUUCUGGGUCCGCCACUGCCUCCACCACUGCUUGAUGAUGUCCAUCAGCUGGUUGUUGGAAUCUGCAUCUUCAUGAUUUGGUUUAGUCUGUAAUUUAUAUGAUUUGUAGAGGUCUUGACUUACUUUUGGUUUAGCUCCGGUUAUAUCCGAUUCUCGUGAUCCAAUACACUUUGAAUUAAUUAAAUAGGAUCACAAACAAAAAAAACCUUUAUAGUUUUAGUAUAUUGACAAAUGUACCUAUUAAAUCUUUCAUUAUUUUAAUUAGAUUUAAUAUAUACAAGUUGUGAUAUUGUGCCACUUCAUAUUUGAUUGUCUCUUUCUUCAUACAAUUUCAGAUUUUCUUCUUCUAUCUUUUCCUUAAACAUCAUUUUUGUUUCUAAUCAUUCUUUCAUAUUAAUUUUUUUUUCUUAAACUGAUAAGAUUUGACAGAAAAUCUACAGGGUAAUUUAAUAAUUUAAUUUAGUACAAUAAUAGUUAAAACAAUUAAUACUAAGGUAGUUUGUAAUAUAUAUGUCGCAAUUCAUGAAUUCAAGUUUGGCUUUUAAUUUUCACAAGAUUUUAUCUCUAAAACUAGUGAAAACUAUUAUGAGAAGUAAAUAAAUAUAGAUAUUAUAUUUUUGAAAAGCCACUUUUGAUAAAUUUGUUUUACGUCUCUGUUCAAUAUAUAUAUGUUUGUAUCUCUCGUUACACUCUCCAUAACCCAAUUUCCAAUGGAAAAACCAAACAACACCAUCACAGAUGUUUUAGAGGGGAUAGUGACGGAGAUACUAGUGAGGUUACCAUUGAGAAGCAUCUCCAGAUUCAAAUCAGUGAGUCAAACAUGGAAAUCGGCAAUAGAAUCUGUGUAUUUCCGACGUCUCUUUGUGUCUCUGCACCAAAACACCUCUUCAAGUUGGUCACUACUGCUCCGAAAAGAAGAAUUCAUAGACUUCCAUGGAUGCGGGACAUGGGGUCUCCCAAAGUCGUUAGGUUCUUAUAUUCAAUGUAUGGAACUAGACGGUAAAUUCGAAUAUAUGUGGUUUUCCGGUUCCAAUGGAUUGAUUUUGAUGCAUAGAAAGUUGGGUACUUGGAAAAAUUAUGUGGGUAAUCCAGUAUUACAACAGUGGGUUGAAAUCCCUGCCUGUCCAGGUUCAUAUACUUUCUUUUGUGGUGUGGUGACGGGUGUUGACGAGGUGGGUGUUGUUUUGAGCUUCAAAGUGGUUAAGAGUGGUAAUAUGUUUCUUAAUAAAGGUGAAAUGUAUAUGCCUUUAUAUGUGUAUUCGUCUGAGACAGGCUUUUGGAUUCACAAAGAAGUUGUAUGCCCUGUUCGCUUACCCAACUUCUAUGACCCUAUUAGUUUGAAUGGGACGCUUUAUUUUUCGCAACGGGGGGAUUCUUAUAAUCGUAGGCCAGGACUUAUGGUUCUCGAUUUCUAUGGUAAACCCAAAGAUUGUCACUUUAUACCGCUCCCCGAUCAUGCUUUGAAUCGCAACAAAACAUGUUUGGCUACAUCCAGCGGUUUUGUCAUGUAUAUCAAAACAUUAGCUCAACCGGGAGGUAAUCUUUUGAAGGUUUGGAGGUUGAUUGAUGAUUCAGCUUGGCAACUUAUGUGGGAAGUCAGCAUCCCAUUUAUUGGAUGUUAUGCACCCAUGUCAAUGCAUCCGUUUGAUCGCAAUAUUGUCUAUUUAUGGAGCCAUGAUAACUGUUAUUUAAUGUCAUUUAACUUGCAGACACAAAACUACAAAAUCUUCGGAGAUGAGUCAAAACAUCAUGAUUGCUAUAUCAACCAUCGUACUUGUGAGAAACAUAUGUAUAAGAUUUCUAGACCAUACUCGGUUUCAGAGUAUGAAGGUCCUAUCAUCUUACAACAAUGGGUGCUCUCAAGGUGGAUGCAAUCAGUGCCUCGUCCUCCCGAAGUUGAGAUGAUAGAUACAACUUCACUACUUUCUCUUGUAGUAAAGAAUGAAGAAUAAAGAUGAAGAAAAAUAGUAAUUAGAAUUGUAAAAGUAAAAAUUAUAUCUUAAUAUCUAUAGUAAUUCUUUAUUUUUGUUUUCUAUAGCAUGGAAUGGAUUCAUGAUUUUUUUUGGUUUCUUAAUACUUUUAGACUUCCUUGAAUCAUCCAACAUUUUGCAUUCUGAUCUUGGCCCAAGCCUGAUUUUGUAUCGUUGCAUUUGUUAUAUUGUAUCGCACAUUUUUAAAUUGAAUAUUAGCUUUCUGACGCCAAAUAUCACAAAAGAUGGGCCAUCUCUUGGAAGACCUUGAAUAAACAACUUUAAAAUAAACGUCGUGAGGAACCGAUAUUAUCUCUUGGAAGCCUUGAAUAAACUGACACUUGAUCUUUUAUAGCUGUCACAUAGAGAUUCUCUAUUCUCAUAUUGAUGUAACUCUCUCGGUUCUCAAAGGUAACUGCCAUAUAUGCACAUUCUUCGCAUAAUUAUCUCAAUUUCUCUUCCAAGUACGUCCUCAUAGUCUACACUAAAAGUCAGACCAAGGUCAGCUUCAUCGAAUUCUGCUCGACUCAAUUUUAAUACGUUCAAACAACGUAACUGUUGUAAUCUCUCUCAUCCGUGUGUUUGAUGUCGUCUAAGGAAACACUUUUUCCGACUCAUAGCAAUGCAUACGAUUGAUCACAAUAUUGUCUAUAUAUGAAGUCAAAAGUAACAAAGAUGAGAAAAUUUUUGAAACCAUAAAAAAUGCGAGAUCUAAUCAUUGAUCAACUUGAACUAAUUUUGUACUUGAAUUUCAUAUAUUUAAGAGACAACUGGAUAUUUGACUUUAACAAAAAAUUUUAGUCGAUGUUCCAUUUCAGAAAAGAUAUAUGAAUAUGUUAGCAGAAUUUCUGAAAGUGAGAUAGUAACUCCAUAAAUAUAUUCUUUGUUAAUUAAUAAUAUAAAGGAUAUGUGGAGGUUUUCUGGAAUAAUGGAGUAUUAGUUAACAAGAACACCUUCGUCAAAAUGUUAGCAAAAAAGUUUCGGUAUAGGAAUAUGUUAGCAAAAAAAAGUUUAAGUGAAAUAGUAUAUUUUUAUUUCAUUAUAAGAUGCAUUCCUAGUUCAAAGUAUUACCUAAAACAUCAUUUAUUAAAUAGAUAUUAUUAAUUUUAGAAAUAGAUAUCUAUCACCACAUAUUGGAACACUUUGGUUAUUUGAUAUGUUAAAAAUAAUCAAUUUUUUUUUGUCAUCUUUAAAAAUAAUCAAUUAGUUAAUUAAUAUAUUAGACAUGUAUCGAGAUUUUAUGGAAUAGUGGCGUAUUAGUUAAUAAAGUGAGCACUUUUCGGAAAUAUUUGACACAUAAAUAAAGUAAUAUAACCAUUAAUGUGUCCACAUUUUAUCCAAGGCUUUCUUAUACUCCCACUAUAUUCCAUUUUUUUUUCUUUUAACAUCUACUCCUUAUAUUCCAUAUUAUUAGAUAUUUUAGAAAUUCUCACUUGUUACAUUUUAUUUGAUUUUCUAAAACAUUAUGAAUAAUUUAUAUUUGUUUACUCUGUUAUGAUCAUUUAUAUUCUACAAUUUAUUUUUAUUGGGUAGUUUUUUAAAAUAAAUGCUAAAUAAUAUAUUUUAUGUUAGAAAAAUAAAAUUCCUUAUUUUUAAAUAGAAAAUCUUAUAAAAUGGAAUAGAAUAGUAAAUGUUUAGUUUUUGUAGUUUAUAGUUAACUAGUGUGUGUAGUUCAAGGUUCUCAAAAGCUUCUCAUAAUGACACAUCAUACCAUUUUUGUGAACCAUUAUCUUUUUCUUGUGAGUAAUAUUUUUUGAUAUUUUCUCUUCGUCUCAUUCUUAUAUUAUAUCGAGAAUCUCAGUAUCUUUAAAAUAUUGAUACAUAGCUACGAUUCCGAACUAAAAAAAAUGUUUAAUUUCGAAUUGGAUUGGAACCGAAAUCACAUAGCCGGUCGGUUUUUAUAAAUUCGAUUAUAUUUUCUUUCGUAUUCGGUUAUCUCGGGUUUAGUUCGGUUAUAUUGGUCCAAUUUGAGUUAGUUGAUUGUAAUUUCUUCAACGGAUCGAUGAAGCUCAAAGAGGAAGUAGAGAGAAACUUACUUAUCAAUGGUUGGUGCUCUACAUGGCGAUCAGAGAUUGGGUUUAGAUUCCUCUCUUCUUCGUGAUGGUUCUUAUUGGAAUUAUCCGUUACUUCGUCUCUAAGCUCAAGCGAUAUUCUCCGACACCAAAGAAAGGUGAGUCGUUUCUCUCCUUAUUGGUCGCCACCUAUAUGUGUAUAGAUUGUUUGUCGAAUUCAUAUAAAAUUUUCGGAGUCUAAAAUACUUUUGCUAUUUGAUCUUGGUCCAAGCCUGAUUUUUAUAUCAUUGCAUUUGAGGAAUGUCCUGAGAGGACAAGAUCCUUGUCUUGUGCAAGAAGCCAUUGAUUGAAUAGAAGCUAUUUAAAGCGUUUUGUACAAUUGCAUUUGCAAAUUGUCAAGAACUCAAGUAUGAAGACUGGAUAAAAACCUGCUCCUACUUUAUUUGUGUGGACUCAUAUAUCCAUAUGAAAUGUUAGUCUUCUUUUCCUCAUAUUACAUUUUAUUUAAAGUAUUUCUAUUUUGCAGGCUUGUGAGACGCUCAAGUUGUGGUCCAAGGCAUCAUGGAGAUGUGUUGAAUUACAUUCUUAGAUGUUUCUAAAUCAAUCUAGUUCACCGGUCAGAAGAUGCCAUUAUAGAUUUUGUGGGCAAAGCAUGUAAUAGGUGUGCAUGCUAAUAUACUCCACAAAUGUAGCAAUUGUAAGACCAGACAAACUACGAUGCAGAUUCAAGAGAAUUGGUUUUCAGCAGAGCAUAUAUAUGAUUAGAAGGUUACCAGGUCAUGUGGCAAUUGUAAAACAGUGGAUUAAGGUACUAGGACCUACCUACUGUAAGUGAAGUUUUGUUUUUCAAAGUCCUUUGAUUUGAGUGUGAUCUAUACAUGUGAAAACUCGGAUUUAUCUAACCCUUGUAAACUGUUGAUAACACAUAAGGAUUCUUUGCAUAUUCUUAGCAUUGACCGGUUUGGGAAAGCUUUGUUGGAAGCAUGGUUGUAAGAGAGGUCAGAUUCUUCUAUAGAGGGUGGUUGCAGCCAGUGUGAGUCACUAGCUAAUGAACUUUGCGCUCAUGAAUCUAAAAGACAGCAACACCAUGAAGAGGUCAACGAAAGUACCUUUUGUCCAGCUCAAGCAAAUGCUGAUAGGUUAUAGAAGAUUGAGUGCAAACCACUAUCAUUGAUGUUUUGUUUCUAGGCUUGUAGCCACGACUCGAGAAGAGUGUACCUUGCCACAUUUGAUUGGGGCUGCCCCGGUCUGUUAUUGUGUACCAACUGGCAUUGAUGCUCUUCGUCCAUCUUUCUUCUUCUUGUUAGUUUGGUUAGAGCAUCGUAUUUCUUAAUAACAAUUUUGAGGGAUAUAUAUUGUCAAAAGUUUUUAGGAGUUUGGGGCUUCAAAUCAGAGAUCUUAUGACAACACAAGAAAUAUCAUCUUAUUUAUUUAUAUAUAUAUAUAUAUAUAUAUAUAUAUAUAUAACAAUCUUUGUGUGUUUCUGAGUUUAUUUAUUUAUGUGUUAAUCAUAAAACUGCAGAGAUAGCAAUUUAUUUACAUAAUGUCAAACAUAAUGUCAAACAUAAUGUCAAACAUAACAAAAGAACAAAAGAACAAAGCGCAAAAGUGAGACAUGAACAUGUCUAAUGUACUAAAAACUAACACUUGUCUACACUAUAUGAAAACUAGAUGUGUGUUUCUUAUAUCCUUUCUACACUUGUCAGUGAUGAUAUGUAAGAAUUAAUAUCACUAAAUGUACCUCUAAAGUCGACCAAAACUAGAACUCACAUCUUUAUCAACAACAUAGAGAACCUUACGUUUUUUGGUUUCAUAGGUAGGUACAAUGGUAAGUCAGUCGCAAGGAGCAAGUGCUUUAUUUUGGGAGAGAAUUUACAGCAGCCUUGGUUGUCUUGCAGAUGGUAAGUGUAUCAGACAAAUCUUUGAAAUCGUCCCUUGACAAGUACACACCGUAGUCCAAAAGUCUAGUAAUCUGAGCCUUUCUUCAUUGUCCAUUUCAUCUACCGUUUGCCAAAAUCAGAUGAUAACGUCAUCGUUCUUAUCAAAUCCAUCAUAGAAUGUAUGCGCUCUCCACUAGUCUGGACAUAUAUUUUCUCAUAAAAUCAAACGACUCUACACUCUUUGGUUUCGAUACACUUUUAGUACAAUCAUCUUCUUCAUUAGGACACGAAGGAAUUGUCAUUCUAGUUGAUCGUAUGCUUACUCAUAUCUGUUUUUAUUGCCAUAAACUUCUUUUUGCAUGUCAUGGCUAAUAUGUGAACAUUAGUACAAUCAUUUAAGUUCUUUUUUUCCUACACUGAUAACCAAUUUAUUAGUCUUUAGCCAAAUUAAAUAAAAUAUAAUAACUAAUUUUGAAACAUGUAAUGACUGAAAAUGCAAAGAAAGAAGACAAAGAUGGUAUACAAUAAUAGCCUUUUAACAAUUUGGAAUUUUGAUGAUAAGAAUGUUUGGAUUUCUAUAUGGGAACUGUGCUGGCCUAGCAGACAUAAAUAUAGUUAAGAUAUUUUUCAAAAUAAAAAAAUAAAAUGAAGAUCCUUAUUUCGAAAGUAAAUGUAAUAAAGAAAUUUAUUUUAAUUUGAUUUUAAUUUAAUUUUAACUAUCAAAUUUUUAUAAGACGAAGAAAAAAUUGAGAAAUUAGCAUUUGUCCCUGUGCUAGGUUUGAAAACAUUUUUAAAAUCUGGAUCCGACGUUUAAAAUUCUGAUUUUUUUUAUUUAUAGAUAUGAAAUAUUUAACUCAUUUAAGUUCUACUUCUAGCAAAGAAAAAAAAAAAAAAGUUUCUACUUCUAGCGAAUCAGUUCACUUGAAAAUGCCAAAUUGAGUUCACGGGACCAUGCACAUGUAUGUAUAUAGUUUACGUGACAAUUAAAAAAAACAAAUUAAACUAUAUUGAUGUGAAUGAUUUACUAUAUAACUACCACAUUCACAUCAAUUCAAAUCUGAAUUACUACAAAACAAUUGAUUAACUAGGGAUUAUCUGCUAACAAGAAAGAAUUAUAACAAGCUAAUGACAGUUCAUCGCAAGAAUGAUGUAAAAUUUCACUGUACUAGUGCAUGAUGUAAAAUGAUAGUAUGAUAUUUCUGUUGGGUAAUGGGUCUAUCAGUUAGAAAGCAGAAACAAAAUGUUUUGGAGAUCAGAAUUGAGAGAGUACGUUCAUUUUGAGACAAACUCCAAACUUGGAAAUCCAAAUUAAGGUCCUGUUUGUUUGUCCAUUUGGAUGAACCAUCUCAAUGAAAAUGAAAAUUGUUGUUUGUUUUUCAUGUUUUAAUAGAUCAUUUGAAUGAUUCAGUUGAAUGCUUUUAUCUAAACUCAUCCAAAAAAUAAAAAAAAUCUGACUGAGUUUGAUUUGUUCAUUCUGCUGAAGCUGAUUUAGCCAAAAUUAUAAAAUGUCAAUAAUACCCUAAUCUAAUAUAUGGAAUUACACCCAAAAACCACAUCUCUUCUUCACCCUCUCCUCGACACAAAACACUCAAAAUUGAGAUUCAUAGCCGUCAAUGAUGCUGAUUCUUCGCCGGUGAUCUCGCCGUCGCCGAUUCUUCACUGGAGACUCGUCGGAUCCAUCGCCGGAGUGUAGCAGGUUUGUGUUUCUCUCUCUCUCUCUCUCCCUCUCUUGCUUCCUCUCUCUCGCUCCAUGUCUCUCUCGUUGUUUCUCUUUGUAUCCUUGUUGCAAUCACUUGUUCUUGGGUUUGAUCCACCAUGGUUACAUUGUUUAAUUGUGGGUUUGCUUUACUUUGCUUUGUGUUGCUUUUGAUUCUUCGAUUAGCUUUAGUUUACGGCUUGUGUUCCUUAUAUUGCUUUGUGUUGCUUUGCUUGCUUUGUGUUGCUUUUGAGUCUUCGAUUUGCUCUUAAGAGGCUUUGUUGUCUCUACAUUAGGAGCAACAGAACCAUUUGGUGCUGCGACUUUAGCAUCUGCACUUUAGCCCUCUUUAGAUUGACCAUCCAUAGUUACAAACCUCAGCUGCCUCCUUGACGUGUUCAAUUGCAUCCAAAGUGGAAUUGUUUUUGUGUUUAUAGGUCUUUUGUAUUUUUGAUGCAGAAAGCUAGGAUCCAGAUUGUGUUAUCUGAUUUGUUUUGAGAUACAAUGAUUGAUGAUGUUGUGACUCGUGUAUAGCUCAUUGAUGAAAAACUUUGCAUUAGUCUCUAUUUAGUCUCGAAGAACAAGUUUGGCUCUGAGUUUUGUUGAUUGAUGAUGUUGUGACUCGUGUAUAGCUUAUAACUGCUUAUUUAUAAGGGAGAAUUUCAUCUUAUAAAAGAUUUUUUCUCUUCAGUCCUUGUUUCAGCAAGUUUUGUCUCCAAGUAAGAAAGCUUUGGUUUCUCAGGUAUGUCCUCUAUAAAUAUAUUGCUUUCGAUAUUCAAUAGUAUUAAUUAGUGGUUGCAUUUGGCUUUCUGUAGUAGUAGCAUGAGUUCGUCUAAGGUUUGAGUUCAAAUACUGUAGAAAUAGUCAAGAAUAAUAUCUCAUGAUUGUUCAAUAUCAAAUAGUUUUUCUUUGCUUUGCUUUGUUAUCUCUGAUCUUUGUACACGUUUUAUUUGCUUUGCUUUGUUAUCAUAAGUUGUGUAUUGUUUGCUUUGUUAUCUCUGAUCUUUGUUUUAUUUGUUUGGUAUCUUUGAUCUUGUUCUAACACAACUACAAAACGUUUGUUUUCAUUGUGUGCUACAGAUGACAACUAUCAAUGGUACCGAUGUGAGUAUAUUCUCCUCUAAACUUAGAUUUACUAUAACAUUUUCUGUAAUUUAGACUGAUUUUGUACAAAAACACAUGAUCAACUAAGAAUCUUGUGUGGAAUGAUGAGCAAACUCGUUUCUACCUUGAACUAAGAAUUGAGGAGAAGCUUAAAGGAAAUAUUAGGAAUCAGAAUGUCAAUGAUGUUGGGAGACAGACUAUUAUAGAUAGAUUUUAUGAGGUUUAUGGGGAAAGACAUACAUGGAGAAAAUUUGGGGUCAAGUUUACUACUUGUAAGAAGCAGUAUGAAGGUUUUAAGAAGCUGACUCACAACAGAACCGGUCUUGGUUACUAUCCAAAUGGGAGCAUAAGAAUGUCUGAUGAUUGGUGGAAUGAACGGUGUAAGGUAUAUAGAUUCUUAAACUUCUUCUGUCCUUUGUUUGUUCUAGAUCAAGUUCUCAUUGUUUGUUUAUUCUCAUUGUUUGUUAGGAAUUGCGUGGAGCUCGGAAAUUUAAAGAUAAGCCAGUGGCAAAUGUGGAUUUGAUGGAAAAGGUAUUUGGUACAGUGCAUAUCAGUGGAGCCGAGGGCUGGGCUCCUAAACAAGGUGAAGAGAAAUUAGACUCAAUGCAUCAAGAUGAUGAUGGUGAUUCAACGCAGAUCCCUAUAACUCAAGAUGAUGAUGGUGAAUCAAGGCAGAUCCCUCUAAAUCUAGAUGAUGAUGAAGCAACGCAUAUCCUUCCUACUCAGAGCAAUGUUGGCAAUGGUCCCUCAUAUUCAAGUAAGUCAAAGAGUAGUAAGAAAAGAUCAAGGUCUGUACAAGAUGAACAAGGUGUAGCAGAGGUGAUUAAGGAUAGUAUCAAGUCACGGGAUAAAAUUCUUUCCCACAAGAACCAACUAAUAGAGAUGCACCCUAAGUUUAGUUGCUGUCAGCUUCGAGCCAUGCAGAUUCUACACUCGCUGCCUGCUAUAAGGGUGUGGUCUCCCUUAUACAAAGCAGCAAUUCAACAUCUUAAGAAAGAUAUCACCAAUCGUCAGACAUUCUUGUUUUAUGAAGAUGAUGAGAACAAGGUUCUCUACUUGGAGUUUGAAACUGGUGUAAGCAGGAAUGCAUGAGAAAGAAGACAGUGUCUUGCAUUGUUGUUCUUAAGAAUUCUUGUAUUUCAAUGGUUUUUAUGAACUCUAUUGUCUGUUAUCAUCUUGUGUAUGAGAAACAAGUUUUUUUUAGAGUGAGAAUAAAAUUGGCUGCUUUCUAUUAUCUUGUGUAUGAGAAACAAGUUUUUUAUCUUGUAUAUGUUCUGUUGCUCAGGUCUGCUUAGGUCAGAGGAGUGUGAGGUGAAAACAAGAUUCUUGUCGGUAUUGUAAGUUUAUCAUUUCCUUGUUAUGCUUCUGAUUGUAUCAUUUUAGUAUAUCAUCUGAUUUGAGUUUUUUAUUUGUUUCAGGCUGAUUUAGAUUCUUCAAAGCAAUCAACUUCACAGUCAGUUGUGCUUCAAGAGGUACAUUUCUGAGAUCUAUAGCUUGUACAUUUCUGAUUAAUGGAAUCUAUAAGCUUUAUCACAGAUUUCUACUUCGUGUUUGGUUUUGGUUGUCACUGUAUUUUAGUUUCAGAUUGAUUAAUGGAAUCUAUAAGCUUUAUUUGCUUGAGAAAUUAGUACUAUAGAAUGUUUCUUUAAUGCUGUUUAAUAGAGGAGGUCCUCCGACAAACAGCAGAGAAUUGUUUAAUCGUAGACAUUCUAGUUUGAGAUCUGUAAUCGAAAGAACAUUUGGUGUGUGGAAAGCUAAAUGGAGAAUACUUGAUAGGAAGCACCCAAAGUAUGAAGUGAAGAAGUGGAUUAAGAUUGUGACAUCAACGAUGGCUUUACAUAAUUAUAUACGAGAUUCACAACAAGAAGAUAGUGAUUUUAGGCAUUGGGAAAUAGUUGAAUCAUAUGAGCAACAUGGUGAUGAAAAUGAUGCGCAUGUUCCAUAUGUGCCUACUGGUGACAGAGUAAUGGAGAAUAUACGAGAUUCCAUCACUACAGAGAUGGCCAAAGGAACAAGACUCCCAUAUUAACAGGUUCCAUCUCUCUGUCUUAUGCUAUUGACUGUCUCUGUCUUAUGCUAUUGUCUGUCUCUGUCUUGGUUUUAAAUUUUGUGACUAGUAGUGACAGCUGAAUGGUCACGUCACUACAUAAGUUGGUUGAUUACACACGUUUUAAAUUUUGUGACUAGUAGUGACAGCUGACAAGUAAUUCGUUGAACAUAGUGUUCAUUAGUUUGGAUUAGACUUGAUUCAAUUGAAUAGCUUGACAUAAUGACAGCUGAGUGGUCUAUGUUUCUGGUUUUAGCUCAUUGUUGAAUAGUCUCUCUCUCAAUCUAGUUGUUGUAUUCUUGAGCAGCUGCAAUUCUAGUGUCUCUUGAUGUUGUUUGCUUUAGUGUUGUGGUUUGGUAAUAUGCAUAAGACCAUUCUUUGGUUUCUGAUUCUAGUUUGUGUCACGAUUGAAUCACUUUUGAGAAUGUGUCAUGGUUGAAUCGUUAGGUAAGUACUAGCCAAUAUGCAUGCUUGCUCUUAUUGGAGAAUUGGUGAUGAUUCAGGUUAUUGCUUUUAUUGCUCUUCUUUACAGGUUUAGUAAUCUGAAAUGCGUUUACAGGUUUACAGGUAGAAUCUAGAUGCGUUUACAACCAUUUACUGUGUCUUCUUUAUCAUUGAUAUUGUAGCAUCAUUGUGAAUGUUGCAACACCCGUGCAGGUUGAGAAGUCUCCCAUAAAUGCUGAGUACUCAUUCGGGCUAGGGAACUGCAGAGCAUAAGAAGGAACUUAGAAAAUGGAAACAGAGAACUCUCUUUUUAAGACUCUACUUUGAUUAUUUGUUACUUAACAGAGGGCAUUUUUGUCAUUUAUAUAUAUAUGAGAAUGUGAUUGAUUCAUCCAAAUGAUCAAACAAAUAAAGCUUCAUCUAAAUAAUGCAUUUAGAUGAAUUAGCAAAAGAUUAGCAAAUGAUAAAAAAAACAUCAUUAAGAUGAAUCAUUCAAAUGGAUUAUUUGGAUGCAAAUUCCAAAUGAUCAAACAAACAGGGCCUAAAUCGUUGAUAAUAAUAUUUAUCUCGUAAUAAAUUUUGCCCAAGUUUAUGUUUCUUAAUUUCACAUGUACGUAUUACUAUUAGGUAGUAAUUCUUCUUAUUACGGAAUAAUUCUUCUUAUAUUUUCAUUAAAUCCGAGAGUGUGCAACAACAAUACAUAUAUACUCACGGGCCAAACAUAUGAAUUAAUUUGUUAUUCAUUUUUUUAUUAUUAAAAGAUGAAUUAAUUAUCUUAUCUUAUAAUACUAAAUCGAGGAAAGUUCUAAAUUUAUAAUAGACUGAUAACUAAAUAAAAGUUAUGUUGAGAAAAAAAAAACAAAUCAUCGAUAUUUUAUUCAAUAGGAGAAAUGAACAAAUUAUUUGCGAUACAACAAAAAGUAAACAACACAAACCCAUUGAUGUUCUUCAUGAAAUUGACCAAUUCAAUUAAACGAGCACAAAAGAAAACGUAUAAGGAUAAAACAUUCAAGAUUUUUCAUGGUACGUAACUUAUAUAUCAACGUAUUGAUUUUAAGGGAAUUGGAAGUCACGUGAUGCCUCUCUGUUGCAAAUAUUGAGAAGCAAGCUGAGGUUGAUGGGAAGGGUAAGGUUGAUGCCAAGAACACUAGCCUUGAGAGCAGUGCAAAGACAAAUCGCAGCUUCAAGAUCUACCAAACCCUCGAUAAGGCUGCAACAUGGAGUCACAGGAGGAGUUCCGGGGGUCAAACCGUUUAACAAGUUGAGUGCGUUAACACAAACACCGACCUUUAAGGCAUCUUUAGGACAAGUCCCGGUAGUGGGUGUUGGGCUAGGUUUUUGUUUGUUGUGUUUUCCUGGUGGAGGAGGACAAUUGGUACUGCGAGUGGCAGUAGUGAGAGUGAAGAAAAGGAUGUUGAAGAGAAGGAGGAGCGCAAGAGAGUCUUUAAGAGCCAUUGAUUUUUGAGGGAACACAAACAAAGCCCUAAAGAAACUCUUUAAAGUUGAGAAGAUCGUAGAGAGUUGUGGUGGAGAAAAGUAACACGAGUGUUAAGGGAAUAUAGCUUGGGUAGAAAAUUAGAUGAUAUAUAUUAAUAUGCAAGCUAAAUGAUUCGAUUAAUAAUAGUGGCUUUUCUAAAUAUUUACUUGGACCGACCACGUUCUAGUCCUAGGGAAUUUAGCUGGCGAUAGGCAUAUGUUUGGAACUAAGUAUAUAGUUGUUAUACUAAAAUUGAGUUUUUUUGUUAAUUGUAUUUAACUGGUAAUUUUAUACAUCUUCUUUGUUUGUAUUAAACUAUUAAAAAAUUUAUUUUGAUCAAAAAUCUCAUCGGUAUAAGAAGAUAUAUACUCAUUCAUUUUAUUCAUAUAUUUAUACAUUUAUGACUUGUUACAAACUUCCAUCUAGUAAGUACAUAGACUGUAUUAGUUUAUGAUGUACAAUAAUUAAUUUCAUUUGCUUAUCAUGAGUCAUUGUCCUAUCGGAUUUCUGAUUUACGGCGGUUCUUGAUGUUGGGUUACGGUCUAGUAUAGAGCAUGCAAAGGUUACUCACAUGGUUUAUUUGUAAGAUAAGGAAAAUUGAUACAAAGGUACAAUAUAAUUUCAUUGGUAAUUUAUUACAUUGUUGGAACCCAAAAAAAAUCACAAGGCUGUCUUUGUAUAUUUAAGACUAGAGAGAAUGAGGAGAAUGUGUGUGGUGCAAGAAAAUGGUCAUCAUGGGCAGCUAAAGCCUUGUGGAAUCCUGCGACCACAAACCUUAAAGAAGAUGCCAAAAUUGGGAGAGAGGGAAAAACGUCUUGCUCCUACCGACUUACAAAAACAAGUAACUGCAUCAAGAUCAGACACAUUACGUACGAUGGAACAACAUGGCUCUGCCCUACCAGUGGUUAGAAGGCCGUCACUAAUUGCUAGAAUUCCGGCACAUAUCUUUAGUUCGGUAUCAUUCUUGGAGCAUAUGCCAACUAGAGGAGGUGAUAGUGGUGGUGUAAUAGCUGGUGGAGGAGGUGGUGUUGUUUGUGGCGGAGGCGGUUUUAAAGUUUGUGGAGGAAGUGGUGGUGGUGAGAUUGUUGGUGAUGGACCGGGACAGCUAAAGCCUUGUGGAAUCCUACGACCACAAACUUUAAAGAAGAUGCCGAAAUUGGGAGAGAGGGAAAAACGUGGUGCUCCUACCGAUUUACAAAAACAAGUAACUGCAUCAAGAUCAGACACAUUUCGGAUGAUGGAACAACAUGGUUCUGCUCUUCCAGUGGUUAGAAGACCGUCACUAAUUGCUAGAAUUCCGGCACAUAUCUUUAGUUCGGUAUCAUUCUUGGAACAUAUUCCAACCAGAGGAGGUGAUAGUGGUGGUGUGAUUGCUGGUGGAGGAGGUGGCGUGGUUUGUGGAGGAGACAACGGUGGCGGUAAGGGUUUUGGAGGAAGUGCCGGUGGUGUGGUCGCUAGUGGAGGUGGUGGUGUAAUAGCUGGUGGAGGAGGUGAUAGUGGAGGUGUAAUAGCUGGUGGAGGUGGUGGUGUAAUAGCUGGUGGAGGAGGUGGUGUGGUUUGCGGAGGAGACAACGGUGGCGGUAAGGGUUUUGGAGGAAGUGCUGGUGGUGUGGUCGCUACUGGAGGUGGUGAUGUGCUCUGUGGUGGAGGCGGUGGUUGGUCAUUGGCUGGCGGUGCUGGUUGAAAUGUUGGUGGAGUUGGCGGUUGGGGAUCGGGUUGCGGCGGAGGUGGUCCCGGAUUACAAAUACAAAUACAAGGUGGUGGUGGAGGGCAGUAAACGGAAUGGUUAUCUGCUCUAACGAUGGUGAGUAAUGGAAUGAUGCUGAAUGAGAGGAAAAGGAUUAUAGUAGUUGAGGCCAUUCUUGAUUGCAUAUUUUUUUGUUUGGUUUUGCAUUUGCGAAAUUUGGACUAUUUAUGAACGAUGGAUUUGAGGAUGAAGUUAGAGUUAUCAAGUUGGUAGCUUCAUAGUAGGAGAACGUGUUGACAAAAAUGUUUGCGUAAAUCUUGCGUUUAGAUUGAAGCUUGGAGUUUUGGUUUCAAUAGGGUUUGGUUUCGCCGUGUUGACUAUGAUUUAUGAUAUUUUUAUGAAAUGAAAAUGUCAAUCAUAUUUUGUAGUUUACUAAUCAGUCCAAGCACGCAUGGAGAGAAUCAUUAUCUAUAUUCGGGUUCACGUCAUCACGUGUUGUUUCAGAAUUCGAAGAUCUUUUGCAUUUUGUGAUCACGAGAAGGCAAAUCUUAAGUUGAAACAAAGAAGAACUACGCAAAUCUGAAAUCUAAGAAUAAAGGUCUUUUUAAAUUUUAACACUCAUUUCGUCCGACCAAAAAAAAAAAAAAGCAUUUAACUCAUUUCGAGUUUUACCGUGUAACCAAAGCAAUUACGAGUACCAAUUUUCGCGCGUUCUAAUAAUAUGAUCCGUUAUUUAAACCAAUGAACAAAGAGCCUCAUAUUUUUUCCAGCUCUAAUCUCUUGGCUUUUUGUUCCAUGUGCAUCUCAUCUUUGCUCAUUCAUCACUCUUUGACUCUUUAACUCUUUGACUUUUGUAGUCAUAAAAUUAACUAAAAUACAAAAAAAUAAUAUAAUUUAGAUAUUUACAUAUAUUGCCAAAUUUCUAAUUAUUUAUUUCCAUAAUCACAAAAUAUUAAUGGUUGUUCCAAUACGCACAAAAUAUUAAUGGUUGUUCCAAUACGUAAAAAGUAUAUUAAUUUGAUUGAUAAAUUGACUACUAACACCAUAUAUUAUAGUAUCUAAUACAUACAUAUUACAUGAUCAUUUUUAAAGUCUAAUGUUAAACUCUUUUUUGGCAAUUAUUUCUGACUAAAUUUUGACUACUAUUUUUUUUUUUAUUGUGCAACAUCAAAAAUCGAUUCACAAUAAACUCAAAUAUCAUAUAGUACGAAUGGCACUGUGGCAGUAAACUGGUCUUAUUCGAAUUUCAAUAUUGUCAAGGAGAAGUUCAAGAUACUAAUUUGCUUUUCAAAGUAAUUAGGAUCGGAUAAAAUAAUAUGAACAAUUAGGGAAACUUUUUCAAAACCAAAAAUCAAUCUUUUUUGGCGAUAUUUAUAUUAGAUUGACUAAAACAAACAAAUGCUGAAGAACACUAUUUACAUAUCACUUAUACAAAUAAGUUAUAUUAUUAUUAUGUAAUCACUUAUAAAUGUGUUUGCAGAGUUUAUUACCGUGACUUAUGGAUCACAUUUGGUAGUUUAUAUAUGUAUAGUUCUUAGGAAAAAAUAAAUAUUAUAUAAAUUAUGGGUCACUGAAUAAAAAUAACGUGACUAAAAAAUAUACAUUAAAAUCCAUAACAAAGAUGUACGAUAAGUAAAUCAUUAUAUUUUAGAAAAUUAAUUUUACAAAUAAAAAACUAAACUAUGAUUAUUUACUACUAUUGCUCUUAAUUUUGUUCUUCUGCAAAGAGUCAAUCCAUUAUAAAUACAGAAGUCAACUUUGCAAGCUUCUCCAAACGCCGCCAAAUUUUGAUUGUGAUCAACAUUGCAAGCGUCUUUAAUUUGUUUUCUUUCUUCUUGUCAAGCUUGACAAUAGGGAAGAGAGGUAAUUUUUAUAACUAUAAAUUUGACCACAACAUGCAACAAACCAUAUAUCACAGUUCACAGAUGAAACUGAUUUCUGGGAGGGGAAAAGAGCAUGGCUCGAUUUCAUCAGCACCCAAAGCCCAUAGCUUGAGAGAGGGAUUUCGAAAGCUUGAGCUCUAACUUCCCACAAUUGAGUGAAGCUGUCGUCGAUUAAAUAGUGAAGUGUUGUUAAUUAAUAGUACGUUGUCUUGCUAUCACGAGAUGUCAACGAUAGUAUAGUGUUUUUGGGGAUUAAAAAAAUGUUCGUACAUAUAAUUAAUUUCUUUGCUAACCCUCUUUUUCUCUAGACGCGCGAGGUUUGGAUAUCGUUAAGAGUUUAUAUAUUUGGGUAGCUAAAUGUAGAGGGACCAAAAAGUUAACAAAUAGUUUGGUGAUUCAUUAUUAAUUACACAUUACAUAAAUAUAUUACUCACUUUAUUAGUUAGAAGUAAGAGAAAUCUUAAUCAUAUAAAUUUGGUGAUUUUGUUUUUGGUGAGGAUAUAUAUUUGUGCUUAACUAAGCAUAAAUUUAUCCCAAAACACUAUCAACUUAAUAAAUACAAACCUUAAGGGUUGAUCUGUUCCUCAGACUCUGCCGUGUGUUCCGCUUAAUUUGUUUUUUUUAAACUAAUUUUCAAGGUGCACACGGACUAAUUGCUACAAACUUAAGAUUUAGUAUUAAACUUUUCUAAGACGGAUUGAGAUAGAUUUUCUUUAUUGUUUUCAAGUGUCUAAUCAUAAAACAUAAAAACUAAGGAAAAGUAAAAUCAUACAAGAACAUGCACUUGCGAAUAGCUAGCAAUUAACUUAAAGAAACAAAAUUAUUAACCAACCAACUAACGAAGUAAAGAAAAAAUAUGUAAAGUGAGAUAUUGAAGCAUUUUAAUUAAGAUCGACAAGCCGAUGAAGUGGGAGCGAUAGGACGACGAGUUUUGUUUUUCGUUGAUUAACGUUUGAAUUCUGAAACAAUUACUUGAAAAGAGUCUUCUAUUAUAAUUGCUUUAUUUACCAAAGUCACCAAAAGCUUAAAAAAACAUAAACAUAAAAUAAUGAUGUAGAAGAAAGCUAAAAAGUAUAUAUUAAAUUAUAACAUAUGUGGUAUUUUCAUUUGUAACGAUUACAUAUUUUUGUGUUCCAUAUUUUUUGGGACAAUUUCAGACGUAGAAAUUUCCAAUAUAUAUGGUUUAUCUAGUGUGCUUAGAAACAAAAAUAAUAAAGACACAAUGUAAAAGUUACACAAAAUUUAUUGAUGUUUGGUUACAUUAUUAUUGGUGGAAAGUAAAAACGUCAUAUAUUAGACUUAAGUUGUCGUUUAGGUGGCAAGUAAGUUUUAGAAAGGGAACAGGGAAAUGAUUAUGGGCAGGUAAAACCUCUGGGAAUCCUGCGGCCACAAGCCCUACAGAGGAUGAUGAUAUUGGGAGAAAGAGUGGAACGUCGUGCUCUCACCAAAUCACAUAAGCAAGCAGCUGCUUCCGCGUCAGAUAGAUUGCGAAUGAGCGUACAGCAGGGCUGUGCCAGUCUAAAAUCUAAGAAGUUGCCAAAAAAUCUUAGGACAUUGGAACAUGUCCUUAUUUGGUUGGCAUUCCUGGGACAUGUGCCACGUGGAGGAGGUGGUGGUUGGAAUCUCGGAGGAGGGGGUGGUGGUUGGGAUUUCGGAGGAGGGGGUGAUGGUGAGUUGUUCGGUGGAGAUGUUGGUGAAGAAGGCGGCAGUGUUGUUGUUGGUGGAGGCGACGGUGGUGUAGUUGGAGGACGCACUGGUGGAGUCACGGGUGGUGUGUUUGGUGGAACCGUUGGUGGAGUUUGUGGUGGUGUGUUUGGAGGAGUUUCCGGUGGUGUGUUUGGAGGUGUCUGUGGAGGUGUGUUUGGUGGAAGCGUUGGUGGAAUUUGUGGUGGUGUGUUUGGUGGAAGCGUUGGUGGAGAUUGUGGUGGUGUGUUUGGAAGAGCUUCCGGUGGUGUGUUUGGUGGAAGCGUUGGUAGAGUCUCUGGUGGUGAGUUUGGAGGAGUUUGCGGUGGUGUCUCCGGUGGUGUGUUUGGUGGAAGCGUUGGUGGAAUCUGUGGUGAUUGGUUUGGAGGAGUUCCCGGUGGUGUGUUUGGAAGUGUCUCCGGUGGUGUGUUUGGAGGCGUUUCCGGUGGAGUGUUUGGAGGACUUUGUGGGGGUGUGUUUGGUGGAGUUUCCGGUUGUGUGGUUGGAGGAGUUUCCGGGGGUGUGUUUGGAGGAGUUUCUGGUGGUGUGGUUGGAGGUGUCUUUGGUGUGUUUGGAGGAGUUCCCGGUGGUGUGUUUGGAGGUGUUUCUGGUGGAGUAUUUGGAGGACUUUGUGGGGGGGUGUUUGGUGGAGUUUCUGGUGGUGUGAUUGGAGGAGUUUCUGGUGGUGUGGUUGGAGGUGUCUCCGGUGGUGUGUUUGGAGGAGUUCCUGGUGGUGUGUUUGGAAGUGUCUCUGGUGGUGUGUUUGGAGGAGUUCCCGGUGGUGUGUUUGGAGGUGUUUCUGGUGGAGUAUUUGGAGGACUUUGUGGGGGGGUGUUUGGUGGAGUUUCUGGUGGUGUGAUUGGAGGAGUUUCUGGUGGUGUUGUUGGAGGUGUCUCCGGUGGUGUGUUUGGAGGAGUUCCUGGUGGUGUGUUUGGAAGUGUCUCCGGUGGUGUGUUUGGAGGAGUUCCCGGUGGUGUGUUUGGAGGUGUUUCUGGUGGAGUAUUUGGAGGACUUUGUGGGGGUGUGUUUGGUGGAAUUUCCGGUGGUGUGGUUGGAGAAGUUUCCGGUGGUGUGUUUGGAGAAGUUUCUGGUGGUGUGGUUGGAGGUGUCUCCGGUGGUGUGGUUGGAGGUGUCUCCGGUGGUGUGUUUGGAGGAGUUCCCGGUGGUGUGUUUGGAGGUAUUUCCGGUGGAGUGUUUGGAGGACUUUCUGGGGGCGUGUUUGGUGGAGUUUCUGGUGGUGUUGUUGGAGGUGUCUCCGGUGGCGUGUUUGGUGGAAGCGUUGGUGGAGUCUGUGGUGGUGUGUUAGGAGGUAUUUCCGGUGGUAUGGUCGGAGGUGUCUGUGGUGGUAGGGUUGGUGGACCUGUUGGUAAAACUUCCGUAGGUGGUGUGGCUGGUGGACCCGUCGGUGGAGUCUCCGGUGGUAUGGUUGGAGGCAGUGUUGGUGGAAUCUGUGGGGUCACAGUUGGUGGAGGCGGUGGCGAUGGUUCUGGACAAGUACAUACUGGACAUGGUGGCGGAGGAAUGCGUGGUGGAGGUGGGCGGAGAUAGGGACGGUUUUGGGCUUGGGUUUGGCCGAGGAGAAGAAUGCUGAUCAGUGUAAGGAAGAGAGCUAAGGUUUUUGUUGAACCCUUUGGGGCCAUUUUGUUCUUAGGCAAUCUUUGUCCUCACAAAAGAGAAACUGUACGGAAACUUGUGAAUUGAGGUGUAGUGGAACUAUGGGUAUUUAUAUGGCCUUUUGGAGAUUUACUAGAUAUGUAAAUUGCCAUAUGUUUACGUACAUUGCCAAACCUAUUUUCCCAGUCAAGUCUCAGAGGUAGUUUCCCUUCGAUUCACAGCUCAAAAAGUUUCGGUGCUUAGGCUGAAGCUAGUCUGUGGUUAGGCGCUACAAUUUUUACUUAAAUAUCACUACUAUCAUUUUAUAAUAUUGUGAUAACAUAUUAGCUGAUUUAAUAUUUAGGACUAUAUUAGAACACACCGCAUGUUUUAAUUUGCAACUUACGUUGGUUGAUAUGUAUCAGAGUCAAUAAUUACAGUUGUUAUCUAAAGUGACAAUGUCGAGUUGAACUAGCAUUCCCAUGAAUUAACAGGCUUAUUUUGGACUAAAUAAUUUGUUUAUUGGUUCUUCAUUUAACCAAUAAAAAAAACAUAAAAAAAAAAAUCAAAUUUUGAUAACCCUUUUUGAUUUUAUGUUAACAAAUCAGUUUGGUCUAUUCGAUGACUUAUUGUGGUCUGAUUUGUAGAAAAUCUUUAGCCAAGUUACGUUCAUUCCAGAAAAUUUGUUCGGUUACUGUUAGUUUUGUUUUGUAACGUUCAAUUUUAUACAAUAUUUGUGAUCGAUUAAGUAAUCUGUUGGUUUGGUUGCUUGAGUAAAUGAGUGGGCAUACUUCAUUAAUUUCAUCUUCCAAAACUUUCUUCAAAUUAAUUGGUUUUAGGGUUAGGCGUGAGGGCAUUCUAAGUUACCUUGGCCUUCAAGUCUCUAAUAGUUAGGCUAAACAUAGUUUGACCAUUUUGUUGUUGUACUUGUUAGGUACAAGCAAUUAAAUUGGAAUCCAUAAAACUCCACAUAUUUUUUAUAAUCGAGUCCACUCUGGGUUUAUUUUUCCAUACUUAUUUAAAAGUUCGGCUGAGCUUAAGCAUCAUUAAUUGUAGGAUAAGCAUUUGUUUUUCGGGACAAUAGAAAUUAUAGACGUUCAUACGUCAAUGUUUUUAAAAACAUAUCAUCAACCGAUACCAUUUCCUUUUACUAAUUCAAGAUAACUAAAAUGCGAAAAUGAUGUGUUUCGGACAACUUUCUCUACUAAAAACACUUGGAAUCACACGCGCACAAUAUCUAACAAAGUUGAUUGGUACAAAGGGGUCUGGUUCGUACAAGCCACACCAAAAUAUGCUUUUUGCAUGUGAGUAGCAGUCCAAAAUCGGCUCUCAACUGUAGACAUAAUGCUUCAAUUGGACAUGGGAGUGAAUGCAACGUGUGUCUUGUACAAAUAUGAGCGACCACAUUUUCUUCUCAUGUGAUUAAGCUAAAGAAGUUUGGGCAUCUCUGGCGAAAAACAUAUACAAAUCGAGUUACUCCACAGUCUGGCAAAUUAACUAUCCUCAACCACGCAUCAAAUCACUGGCACAAUCGCCUCGAAGGCUUUCUCGCUCGAUACGUCCUGCAAGUCUCGGUUUACUCUAUUUGGAGAGAGCAAAACGGGGGCAAACAUGACAAAGUUCCAAACCCACCAAACCGCCUCAUCGAUUGGAUUGAUAGACACAUGCGAAACCAACUUUCGGCAAUCUAAAUAAGUGGAGAUCAGAGUUACUACAAGGGACUCCAAGCUUGGUUUGAAUCAAGAGUGAUAAGCUAAGGAAGAUUUUUUUUUUUUUUUAAGAUUUUUUAAGAUAAACCGUAAACGUUAUACUAGUUGUACUAUGUUACUUAUAAAUCUAAUUUAAUAUUACAAUAAAUAAAAUAAAGAAAAAUACUAAAUCUUAUUAAAUUCUAUAACAUCCAGAUCAUAAUACUUGAAAUGAAACCAGUUGAAACUGCAUUAACAUAUUUAAAAUCAUCACCACCAUCAAAAUUUGUAUAUAAAAGUGAAAAUGUAUAAAUUUAGCCUUUGAUGUCAUUGAUGAAGUUAUCACCACCAUCAACUUCAUUGAUGAUUUUUUUACCAAAAAAAAAAAAAAAUCAUUGAUGAUGUUUUGUUUCAUUAGUAUUGGAAGAAAGUAAAAAAGUUUGAAGCGCUUUAAGAUAUUGUACUUAUAUUUACAAGUGACUUUAUCAUCUUUGGUAAAAAAACUACCGAUUUCGAUUAGAUGAAUAUAAUACAUGUACAAGUAAAACGACCGCCUGAAGUCAAGGGUCUUGUAGCAUGGGUAAAUGGGUGGGAAAUGUUCCGUGAAUUAGUCAUAUAGAUGUUUAAGGAUAUCCGAUUGAGACAAUCUAAGUUACCUUGGCAACUACGUCUCUAAAGUUAGGCUCUAUAUUGAACAUAUAUGUAAUUAUCAACUAUCUCUAGUUAGACGUUAUAGAGAACCCUUCAAAAUGGGCCAUAUAAAUUUUGUGGCCACAUGAAAACAGUUUUAAAUGGUGAUCUUUAGCUCCAUUACAAAUUUUUUAGCUAAUCCAUGGCUCUUUAGCAACGGAUUUGCUACAGAACAAAAAAAAAAACCAUGACAUCAAGCCAAAAACCAAAAACGUGGUCAUAUGGCAUGGGUUAUAAGAGCUACACACGUCAAAUCGCCAUAUUUUCAUAGAGCCUAAGUUAGGCCUGGUUAAAAAAACGUACUUGUUAAGCUUGUAGGGUUUUCAAAUAAUCACAAGAUUGAAUAUGCACUGCAAAUCGGACCAUGCACUGAAAAUAGAUAUCAUUAUCUUUCUUCUUUUUUUUUUUUUUGGACCAGAUGCAUUUACUUUAUGAAAUGAAUACUUCUUUUAUUAUUUUUGGAAAAUAGAACUAAACACCAUGAUGCCUAUAGUGGCUUCUGCUGGUUUUGAGCUAGUGGUCACUGGACCCCGAAAAAUUGAAGUAAAACCAAGUUUUUUAUGAAUGAAUUCAGAGUAUGGAAUCACAUACUUCUGACCAUCACUUUACAAGACAAUGACGAGUAACCUCAUAUAAACAAUAAAUAUGUAUAAUUAAUUAACUAUAUAUAGAUUUUGGAUAACACUUCUAUAUAUUGAUCUUUUUAUUGGGUUAUUAUUUGUAAAAAUGUUUUAAUUUUGUUAUUAAGUAAUAGUUUUUGUUAGUUUUGAUGAUUUUUAUGUCGAAUAAACCUGUAAAUUAAUAAAAUAAUACGUUGUCGAAAAUGUAUAUAUGUUUGGAUCAUAUUUCGCAAUUUUCUUUUUCAUUUCAACAUAUCAUAUGGGAGACAGGAAGAGACACAAAGUGUUAUACUUUAUUUAAUAUUAUUCUUCAUAGACAUUAAUAGAUAUGCUUAACAACUUUUUAGUAAGCAUCGAUAGUCCUUAUAAUUACGUUCUAAUCAACAACGAAACACACACCAACACUGUAAAACAUUAAUAGAUAAACCCAUACUUUUGGUACCAGCAAACUUAUAGUGCAAGGAAACACCGGAUAGGGCUCUUAUUUAGGGGAAUUAAGUAGUAGUUACUGUGGUGGUGGACACUGGAAACCGAUAGGAAAAACCCUAUUGCAAGCAAAAAAGAUUUCUCUAACGGCCACAUCAAUACCGAAAACCAACGGAAUCGGCCUGAAGAUAAAGCAGAGACAAUCGGUUACUUGAACAUUAGUGAGGCCAUUGAGGGCAGUGCAACACUGUCGUGCUCUGGGGUCGCCAGCUGUAACAUUGGCUAGGCCAAGGACGUUGGCACAUACGCCUAGUUGCAAUGGGUUUCUGGGACAUGAGCCAAAGUUGUUGGUCGGUGUAGGCGAGCUUAAGAGGUUUGCUUCUGCGAGGCUGAUGAGGAGGAUGAUGAUGAGGGAAAUGGUGGUUGAGCUCUUUGAGGCCAUUUUUUUAUUUUAUUUUGUGGAUAUGAAAGUGUGGAUGCUUUCGAUGAUGUUGUGUAGUAUGUAUUUAUAGAGCCAAGAGAUGCCUUGGAAUCACAAACACUUGUGUAUCAUUUAUUUUUUUUGCCUAACAUUACUCUUUUUUAAUUAAUGAGGUUUUAGAGAUUUAGGCAAGUUGUUGGUUCUCUCUCUUAUGUACAACUUUACGCUCAAAAUGUCUAGUUUGGCUUCCAAGGAGUUUUUUCUUUUGUUUUCAGAUUUGUUUUUUCUUUCUUUCAUAUAUUCAAGAGUUCAACACAAAUUAUAACCAGUAUAUACGGUUUAAAUCUAAGGUCAUGAAUGUAUGCAUUUUUUUAUGAAUUGAAUGGAUGUAAUUUUGGUUUUUUUAACACUUGAUAUAUGAACCAACUUGAAAUUACAUAUUUACAGAAGUAGAUAUAGACCAUCAAUUGAUAUAGAUGUUACAAGGAACACAAUACACACAAUAAACAUUAAUAAAUAAUUUUUCACAAGUGCGUCUUCAAUACUAAUUUUAUUUCCCGGAUUUCAUGUCUUCUAAAUAAUUAAAAUUUAUCUUCCACAUUCAGCCUCCAAUAAAAUUCUAUGUCUUCGUAAUCUAACGAAAUGAAAACUUCUAAAAUCUCCAUCCCCGUCUUUGUAUGGAACAAUAACUUGAUGUGUCAAUUGAAAUUCUAUGUUCUACUUAUAGAAACCGAUGCCAUGCAUGAUCUAGUUUUAGAAGGAAAAUCUUUGAUUACUGAGGGUUCUUUCAUUGUCUAAGAAUGAAUAUACUUGAGGUUUACCGAAGCGGGGAUCAAACAGAAUGCAAUCAUUUUGUUUGAGAUUUGAAUUUACGUAUGUAAGUUCUUCAAUUACUUUUUUUUCCAGUAAUAUUUGUAAACUCCAACGUGAUUCAAAAUCUAAAAUAAAGACAAUCAACACUCCCGUACAAACUUUAUUUUAUUUUUUAUUACAUUAUUGGAACAAAGUAUAUAUUUAGAAACAAAAGAAAAUCACGGUUAAGUGUAUAGUAAGUAGGUUUUUUAGUUUAUUGUGGGGAAAGGAGGUGGUCAUGGGCAAGUGAAGCCUGGGGGAAUGCUACGACCACAAGUCAUAAAGAGGUUGAUGAUAUUACGAGGAAGACUGCGACUUGGUGCUCUCACUGAUUCACAAAGGCAGGCAAGUGCGUCAGCAUCAGAAAGACCACGAAUGAGAGAACAACAUGGUUGCGCCGUUCCUAAUCCUAGGAAACCAUCGAACAUAUUUAGGAUAGUGCUACAUAUUUGUAGUGGGAUACCAUUCCUAGGGCAUCUACCACUCGGGGGAGGCGGUGGUGGAGUCCUCGGCGGCGGUGGUACUGAAGGUGUCCCUGGGGGCGUUGGUGGUGCACGUGGGGGAGAAAUUGGUGGAGUUAUUGGCGGUGAUUGUGGUGGUGCACGUGGAGGAGAAGUUGGUGGAGUUAUGGGAGGAGACAUCGGUGGUCUCUUUGGAGGAGAAUUUGGGGGAACUAUUGGCGGAGAUACCGGUGGUGUUUGUGGGGGAGCGGUUGGUGGAGCCCUUGGAGGAGUAACUGGUGGUGUCCGUGAAGGAGAAGUUGGUGGGGACACAGGGGGUGUACGUGUAGGAGGCAUUGGUGGACUUCUUGGCGGAGGAGAUAGAGGUGAAAGCGGGGGAGAAGUUGGUGGAGUUCUUGGUGGGGGCAUUGGUGGUGCACGAGGAGGAGAACUCGGUGGAGUUCUUGGGGGAGAUAUUGGUGGUGCACGCGGAGGAGAAGUUGGUGGAGUUCUUGGCGGGGAUAGAGGUGGUGCACGCGGAGGAGAAGUUGGUGGAGUUAUAGGGGGAGAUAGCGGUGGUGUACGUGGAGGAGAAGUUGGUGGAGUUCUUGGCGGGGAUAGUGGUGGGGCACGUGGAGGAGCUGUCGGUGAAAUUCUUGGAGGAGGAACUGGUGGUGCUCGUGGAGGAGAAGUUGGUGGAGUUCUUGGAGGAGAAUUUGGUGGAGUUCUUGGCGGGGAUAGUGGUG
rnacentral:lncRNA from 1 species